rnacentral:rRNA from 1 species
UACAUGGGGUGCAAACGUUGCUCGGAAUCAUUGGGCGUAAAGGGUGCGUAGGCGGCGCGGUAAGUCGGGUGUGAAAUCUCGGAGCUUAACUCCGAAACUGCAUUCGAUACUGCCGUGCUUUGAGGACUGGAGAGGAGACUGGAAUUUACGGUGUAGCGGUGAAAUGCGUAGAUAUCGUAAGGAAGACCAGUGGCGAAGGCGAGUUUCUGGACGGUAACUGACGCUGAGGCACGAAGGCCAGGGGAGCAAACGGG